CUUAGGCUUAGGCUUAGGCUUAGUCUUCAACCUAGGCUUAGGCUUAGGCUCAGGCUUAGGCUCAGGCUUAGGCUUAGGCUCAGGCUUAGGCUCAGGCGUAGGCUU
ensembl:ncRNA W01B11.7 ncRNA